rnacentral:rRNA from 1 species
CGGGAAACCGGAGCUAAUACCGGAUAAUAUAUUGAACCGCAUGGUUCAAUAGUGAAAGACGGUUUUGCUGUCACUUAUAGAUGGAUCCGCGCCGCAUUAGCUAGUUGGUAAGGUAACGGCUUACCAAGGCAACGAUGCGUAGCCGACCUGAGAGGGUGAUCGGCCACACUGGAACUGAGACACGGUCCAGGACUCCUACGGGAGGCAGCAGUC